AGGCCGACGCCUCGGCCUGCGGCUGCGCUGUGCCCCUCCCGGCGGGCUGGGGUCCGCGCAGGCCAGCCCUGAGGGUGCAGGACAGGCCCCCCAGCGCGGCGCGGCGCCGAGAGCGCGGUGAAGAUCCCGGAAACGCUGCGUCCUCUAAAAGCGGAGGAAAUCAGUCGUCACUUUGACUAGCGUCUCCACACCUGCAGCUCCCUAGAACUUCCAGACCCUGGCAGCACCUCCACCACCUUCACACUGAUACAGAAGCAGCUUAGCUUGAAGUGGUGGCAACUGAGUCUCGAUCCGGGUUACAUUGAAUGUGCUCCUUUGGAAGAUGCAUCUGGCUGGCCUUGAUGCAGCCAAGGCUGGUGGUGGGAGAGGCAAAAUGUGAAGAAAGGCUCUCUUAGACGGCAAACAAGAAGCUGGAAGAAUCUAUCUAGGAUUGUAGUAAUAGAGAUGGAAGAAGAAGGUGUUCCCUUAUCUG